rnacentral:rRNA from 1 species
UACGUAGGGUGCAAGCGUUAAUCGGAAUUACUGGGCGUAAAGCGUGCGCAGGCGGUUUUUUAAGCCAGAUGUGAAAUCCCCGAGCUUAACUUGGGAACUGCAUUUGGGACUGGAAGGCUAGAGUACGGCAGAGGGGGGCGGAAUUCCACGUGUAGCAGUGAAAUGCGUAGAGAUGUGGAGGAACACCGAUGGCGAAGGCAACCCCCUGGGCCUGUACUGACGCUCAUGCACGAAAGCGUGGGGAGCAGACAGG